ACUCGAGUGGCGAACGGGUGAGUAACACGUGGGUGAUCUGCCCUGCACUUCGGGAUAAGCCUGGGAAACUGGGUCUAAUACCGGAUAGGAGCCAUUUUUAGUGUGAUGGUUGGAAAGUUUUUCGGUGCAGGAUGAGCUCGCGGCCUAUCAGCUUGUUGGUGGGGUAAUGGCCUACCAAGGCGGCGACGGGUAGCCGGCCUGAGAGGGUGGACGGCCACAUUGGGACUGAGAUACGGCCCAG
rnacentral:rRNA from 1 species